rnacentral:rRNA from 1 species
ACGCACGCUGGCGGCGUGCUUAACCCCUGCAAGUCGCACGGAAAGGCCCUGCUUUUGUGGGGUGCUCGAGUGGCGAACGGGUGAGUAACACGUGAGUAACCUGCCCUUGACUUUGGGAUAACUUCAGGAAACUGGGGCUAAUACCGGAUAGGAGCUCCUGCUGCAUGGUGGGGGUUGGAAAGUUUCGGCGGUUGGGGAUGGACUCGCGGCUUAUCAGCUUGUUGGUGGGGUAGUGGCUUACCAAGGCUUUGACGGGUAGCCGGCCUGAGAGGGUGACCGGCCACAUUGGGACUGAGAUACGGCCCAGACUCCCACGGGAGGCAGCAGUGGGGAAUAUUGCACAAUGGGCGGAAGCCUGAUGCAGCAACGCCGCGUGCGGGAUGACGGCCUUCGGGUUGUAAACCGCUUUCGCCUGUGACGAAGCGUGAGUGACGGUAAUGGGUAAAGAAGCACCGGCUAACUACGUG